ACGAGAUAAGUAUUUAUUAUUACAUCUAUUUAACUCAUCAUGAUCAUAGGAACAUCAUCAUUAUGAACAAGACGAUCUCAAAAAAUUUUUAUAUUCAAUCGUGACCAGCUCCACUCUCCGAAGUCUCAUCGGGAGCCUCUUCAUGGAGCUCCUCACCAGAAGGAUCAAGUUUUUGGAUCUUUAUGCUUCUGGAUCUACCUUGAGUGGUGG
rnacentral:lncRNA from 1 species